rnacentral:rRNA from 1 species
AUUGAACGCUGGCGGCAUGCUUUACACAUGCAAGUCGAGCGGCAGCGCGGGGGCAACCCUGGCGGCGAGCGGCGAACGGGUGAGUAAUGCAUCGGAACGUAUCCUCGAGUGGGGGAUAACCCAGCGAAAGUUGGGCUAAUACCGCAUGAGCUCUGAGGAGGAAAGCGGGGGACCUGCGAGGGCCUCGCGCUGGAGGAGCGGCCGAUGUCCGAUUAGCUAGUUGGUGGGGUAAAGGCUUACCAAGGCGACGAUCGGUAGCUGGUCUGAGAGGAUGAUCAGCCACACUGGGACUGAGACACGGCCCAGACUCCUACGGGAGGCAGCAGUGGGGAAUUUUGGACAAUGGGGGCAACCCUGAUCCAGCCAUGCCGCGUGAGUGAAGAAGGCCUUCGGGUUGUAAAGCUCUUUCGGACGGAACGAAAUGGGCGGGACUAAUACUCCUGUCUGAUGACGGUACCGAAAGAAGAAGCACCGGCUAACUACGUG